rnacentral:rRNA from 1 species
CCUACGGGAGGCUGCAGUGAGGAAUAUUGGUCAAUGGGCGGAAGCCUGAACCAGCCAAGUAGCGUGCAGGAUGACGGCCCUACGGGUUGUAAACUGCUUUUAUACGGGAAUAACGCGCCUUACGUGUAGGGCUUUGCAUGUACCGUAUGAAUAAGGACCGGCUAAUUCCGUGCCAGCAGCCGCGGUAAUACGGAAGGUCCGGGCGUUAUCCGGAUUUAUGGGGUUUAAAGGGAGCGUAGGCCGCAUGUCAAGCGUGAUGUGAAAUGUCCGGGCUCAACCCGGGCCUUGCAGCGCGAACUGGCGUGCUUGAGUGCGCGGGACGCAGGCGGAAUUCGUCGUGUAGCGGUGAAAUGCUUAGAUAUGACGAAGAACCCCGAUUGCGAAGGCAGCUUGCUGCAGCGGAACUGACGCUGAUGCUCGAAAGCGCGGGUAUCGAACAGGAUUAGAUACCCUUGUAGUC